AUCGAUGAAGAACGCAGCGAAAUGCGAUAAGUAAUGUGAAUUGCAGAAUUCAGUGAAUCAUCGAAUCUUUGAACGCACAUUGCGCCCCUUGGUAUUCCGGGGGGCAUGCCUGUUCGAGCGUCAUUUCAACCCUCAAGCUCAGCUUGGUCUUGGGCUCUGCCGGCAACGGCUGGCCUUAAAAUCAGUGGCGGUGCCAUCGAGCUCUACGCGUAGUAAUUAAACCCUCGCGUUUGAGUCUCGGUGGACGCUUGCCAGCAACCCCCAAUUUUCUAUGGUUGACCUCGGAUCAGGUAGGGAUACCCGCUGAACUUAAGCAUAUCAAUAAGCGGAGGAAAAGAAACCAACAGGGAUUACCUCAGUAACGGCGAGUGAAGCGGUAACAGCUCAAAUUUGAAAUCUGGCUCUUUCAGGGUCCGAGUUGUAAUUUGUAGAAGAUGCUUCGGGUGUGGCUCCGGUCUAAGUUCCUUGGAACAGGACGUCAUAGAGGGUGAGAAUCCCGUAUGUGACUGGCUGCCUCCGCCCAUGUGAAGCUCUUUCGACGAGUCGAGUUGUUUGGGAAUGCAGCUCAAAAUGGGUGGUAAAUUUCAUCUAAAGCUAAAUAUUGGCCAGAGACCGAUAGCGCACAAGUAGAGUGAUCGAAAGAUGAAAAGCACUUUGGAAAGAGAGUUAAACAGUACGUGAAAUUGUUGAAAGGGAAGCGCUUGCAAUCAGACUUGCACGCUGCCGAUCAUCCGGGGUUCUCUCCGGUGCACUCGGUUGCGUUCAGGCCAGCAUCGGUUUGGGUGGUUGGAUAAAGGCCUUGGGAAUGUAGCUUCUUUCGGGGAGUGUUAUAGCCCUCGGUGCAAUGCAGCCUACCUGGACCGAGGACCGCGCUUCGGCUAGGAUGCUGGCGUAAUGGUUGUAAGCGACCCGUCUUGAAACACGG
rnacentral:rRNA from 1 species